rnacentral:lncRNA from 1 species
CAACCGCCACUCGCCACCUGCUAACUUUGUUGCCCUUUAUUCACCUUUAAAAAAAAAAAAAAAGGAAUUGUGUCAUUGAAGGGACUCAAACGUUGACCCUCAAAGGAGGCGGGCUCACUCACAAACCACUACACCAAAUUUGUUUGUGAUAUUUAUUCAAUUACACAAUAUUUAUAUAAACAAAAACAAAUGCAAAAAAAAAAAAUUUAAUAAAAAAAAAACACUAAUUUCUUA